CCCCACCCCUCCUCCCUCUGCCACUCACUGUGGGAGUGGGGUAUUUAUUACAUAAACGGUAAAAAAAAAAAAAAAAAAAAAAGAGGAGGAGAAGAGAACUCAGCCAGAGAAGGAGAGUAUUGUGUUGUGCACCUGCACAGGACGUAUAUUGUACACACCUGCUCUGCAGCUUCACCAGCGCCAAUCGGAUUUCAGUAUUGAUCAGAUGGAGCUUCACUAUCCGCUGCCAUGCUUCCUACCAGUGAAUCUCCCUUGCAGGACCCAACAACUCCGGGACUACGAGACUCAAAGUCCCAUCUGAAAGUAACGCGCUCACGUCGUUGAAACGGCCUCGGCCUCUUAGUGGAUGUCAAACACAAAGUCCUCCUCAAUUCCAGGGGGAGCGCCCCGACCCGCCACAGGCUGCGAUCGGAUUUUAAAAUUCAUGCGAGGUGUCCUCCCAAACUACAACACGCGUAAUAGGCACUAAAUAUGCAACCGCUCAAGAAAAGAGGAAAGAAAAAAAGAAAAGAAAAGCUGUUUGCCCACAUGCAUUUUGAAGACCACGUCGUCCCGUGCUUUUCAGAUCCUCCGAGGCUGAGCGGCAUUGCCAACAAGAAGGGACCUCGACCCCAACGGGACGCUGCAAGGGGCGAGUCCACAUGUCUCACGCUCACUGUGACGAUGCGUAAACGUGCAAACGUGUUGCCCGAUAUGAGAAGUCUGUUGUCCGUGUAGCUCAGCUCCGUUCCAGCAUCUUCACCCUAUUAUUCUACGCACACUUCCUCCACUGGAAGUCGAAACGAACGAGUGUGGCUUCACGAGCGUGUGUGAGACUGAGAGAAACAAGCUGAGCGACUUGAGUGUGUAUGAUGUUACUGUUGCAGCUUCCCCUUUGGUGGUUUUGGAGUUUUAUACUAAAGACUACGGUCACUUUUGGUUUAAUUAAAGAUUCUUUAAAAACAGUUUAAUUCAUGUAAGUUGACAAUUUGGACAAAGCCAUGCUGCGCUGCAGUUUGUUUCCCACAUGCAUUUCAAAGCUUUUGCAGAUUUCCAUCAGUUUAAAAGUAAUUUGGGGGAUUUUUAUGAUUUUAUUGACACUAUAAAACAAGGGGACAGGGAUGAGAUGGAUAGAGUAAGAUUUUCUUUUUUAUGUGGCUACGUCGGAGUAGUUGUUUUGUGUCACAGGUACUGUAAGCCCUCCCAGGCCCUGACUUUUCUUAGGGGCAGGUGCUUAAUUUUAUCACACUUCAUUGCUCUCUUGGCCACGACCCAACACAGCUUCUCUCUCUCUCUCUCACACACACACACACACACACACACACACGCGCGCACACUCCAGAGAACUUCAACACUAAGGCCCCACCGCAAAGUUAUUAAUGAGCUGUUUAAUUUUAAUUAGAUAGUAAUUCAUGUUAAUGCCUGCUUAAUGGAGCCAAAUAAUUCCCCUCGGUCACUCGGGGUCUUUAUGCUUCGUUUACCAGUCCCUGCAGUUAUUCUCUGGCUUUUGUUUUUAUAUUACAUUUCCAAGUCUUUUCUUUUCUUUUCCUUUUUUUUUCAAGCCCUGAGUGAAUGAUGAAACAGUAAAAACAGGAAAACAUAUGGGGUGAGUGAAGCAUUCAAGUGUGUGUGUGUGUGUGUGUGUGUGUGUGUGUGUGUGUGUGUAAAAGAGUGUGUAUCAGUGAGAGUGGGAGCUCGUAUCCAUAUGUUUGCGUCCAUGUUCCCCGUGCUUAUGUUUCAUUUUUGGUCAAGUGCUUGUUUAAUCAAACGCGUUCGCGUCUAUGAGUUUCCGUCUGUACGUGUGAGAAGUUGCACCACACACACAAAAACACACACACACACGUACACACACGUACACACACACGUACACACACAUAUUCUCCUAAUGCACAGGCUACAACAGUAAAUGCCUUAAGUCAGACCAAAGAAAAGGUCAAACUCAGUAUUGAACACUAAGCAGGGUUAAACCCUCAGGUUGAGGUGCAGGCACCGAGACAUUUGUAAGAGAGAGGUUGUGACCUUUAUGUACAGGCCAGACCUCGUGUCACGUGUGCAUCCACUGCGCUGUUGCUCACCUAGGGGAGGUAAUUGUGCGAGACGCGAAGGACUGACCACACCAGAGUAGACCAGUGUGUGGGGUCAAUCCCGUUGAGUCUGUCUCAGUUCUGUCUGGGUGCCUCGGCCCUAAGCUGAGUGGUUGAAUUGAGUUAGUGGCUACAGACAGGCUUUUAAUUGCUGAUUGACCAGUCUGAGUGCUUCCUGGUCUGGGGGUCACCGCGGAGAGCAGGCGGGGAGGUCCCCAGGCCCCAGCGGCAAUUUCAGCCACACACACACACUCACCCGAGUGCCACGGAGGGGCAGAGAGAGAUGAAGAGUAGGAUGGUAGUACAAGAUACUUAGGACACGGCGAGGGGAGGGGAUGGAUAAGAACUGGGAGACUUUCAAAAGUUAGGAAAAAUGUGUUGUUUGCUUUAAUCCUCGUCUUUACGUGAAAUUUGGUGUCGGGUCCACGGGGGCCUGUGCGAUCCAAGCAAACACAGACGCACAUCGCAGUGGCUGCGAGCGGAGCGGGCUUUGAGGUCCACGGAUUAGCAAGUUCAAUGUUUACUCCCCCACAAAAAUCUCCGCUCCUUCAUCUGUUUGACAAUUACAAAUUGACUUUGUACCCGCUCCAUCCACUUCUCUGCCCCUUCACUCCUGCCUCCUUUAUCCUCUCUUCUCUCCCUCCCCUCCCUUCAGCCCCUCGUUCCUCUUAUUCUGCACGGGGCCCACAAAAGCCCACUCUGCUGUUUUAGCGGGUUAGCUCCUCACUCCUCCUCCUCCUCCUCCUCCUCCCGGCUCACAGCAGGUGCCCGUCCUCGGCUAACAUUUGUUAUCUCUAAUCCUGCAGGUUCGGCGCACAAAAAGAGCGUAGUAAACUCUCUCUCAGACCUAAUCCCACCACUCCUUCUUCUGAUGGCGCUCGCCCUCGUCUCCUCUUUUCUCCCUUCACUAUCUCUCUUUUAGGCUGUUGGAGGGGGGGAGACACUCCACUCCUCUGAUUGCCACAUAGCUUUUUAUCACCAUGGCCUUCAAUUUGGGGGGCAGCUGUUGUGGGUGUGGGUGUGGGGGUGUCUCCCCCCCUCCUUCUUUAAAUCUCAGAUUCCAACUCUCUCUUCCCUUUCUCUCUCCCUCUGUCUCCUUUUUUUUUUGGCCCUCUCCUCCCUCACUCUCUGUAUCAUUUACAGUCAUUUUCUGGCAAUUAAAAUGGAACACUGCUGCAGGAUUUUCGCCUGCAGUGCAACACUACAGCGCUGAUGAAUAAUUCUUCACCCUGCAAACGGGAAAAGCUUGCCUUUCUUUCAUGUCGGCCCUUUGUUGAUUUACCAUUAAAACUUGCUGCACCGCGCUGCGAGUGGAGGGGCCGGCUCUGCGGGAACUGGCAAAAAGUAAAAAAAAUGAGGAUGAAGCAGAUAUGUGUACAUAUGCUUUAGGGUCAUUUUAUUCCUGGCCUAGGACGAGGGAGUCUGUGAGUCAUAUGUAUAUGAGUCGUAUAUAUUUGUGUUUAUGGUUCAGAUUUAUGGUGCCUAAGCCUCUUUAUUUAUGUCCACUGUCUCGUUCUGUACCACUUAGGUUUUAUGUUAAUUUUUCUUAUCAACGGUUUUCAUUAUGGGGCUUAGCUGUAUUGUGUGAGUGAUUAGACGGUCAUUCAUCUCUGUUUCUCUUCCUCACACACACUGACACACACACACACACGCGCAUACGCUCUCUCUCACUCUCUCUGUAUCACACACAGGGCGAGUGGUGACUGAUGUGUGGAUGGAGUGUGCGGGGUGCUCCGGCUGCAGAGGCGGGGUGGUGUUGGCAGUAUGUUAAAUGAUGUGGGACUCCGGGCCAACCCAGCCUUUGGCAGUUUUCUGUUGGCAACAUCCUGGAGUGGUCUGCUCACUGCUCUGAGGAUUUUAGUUCGAUGAACUUUAGUGUAUACUCCUAGAAAAACAAGCGAAAGUUUACAUUUGCCGUGUUAAUAGUAAUAUUAAAACAUACAAGAUAAAGCAGGGGAAUGAUCGAUACUUCUCCACUUAAAUUUGUGUACCUACUAUAUAUCAUGUACCUGAUAAACCCUGCUGUAAAUUUGCAGUAUUUAAACUUGUUGCUUAAAGUAUUAAUGUUUACAUCUCACUGGAAAGCUGGCAUCACUGAUUUAUCUUUUCAAGCAAUUCAAAGUUUACAUUUUCCAAAAGGGGACCUUUUGUAAAUAUUAACAUUCACAACACAUUCAACAUUUUUUUUCCAGACUGCUGAGAUUGAACAAUUUGCCUGAGCCAAGAGCCAAAUGGUUAGGACACAUGGGCACAUACGCCUGGUUUUGUUUCCCGACAGGCCCGACUAUAACAUUCCCCUUCUCUCUCACCUUGUUUCCUGUCUCUCCUUCACUGUCUGUAUGAAAUAAAGGCAAAGACAUAAAGU